ensembl:misc_RNA 7SK 7SK RNA
GGAUGUGAGGGCGAUCUGGCUGCAACAUCUGUCACCCCAUUGAUCGCCAGGGUUGAUUUGGCUGAUCUGGCUGGCUAGGCGGGUGUCCCCUUCCUCCCUUACCAUUCCAUGUGUGUCCCUCCUGAUGGCUUUCCCAGAAUAUUGACAGAGCGGUCCUCAGUCGAGGAUAUACAAGUAGCUGCGCUCCCUUGCUAGAACCUCCAAACAAGCUCUCAAAAAGGAUAAAAGAGGACCCUAGUGGGGGUUGUAUUGUUAUGUGGAAAACUGAGAAAUGUUAUGCAUAUACAAACUACUGUAUUU